rnacentral:tRNA from 1 species
CCGACUCAUAAUCGGUUGGUCCCCAGUUCAAAUCUGGGAGGGGCCA